UGGGGAAUUUUGGACAAUGGGCGCAAGCCUGAUCCAGCAAUGCCGCGUGAGUGAAGAAGGCCUUCGGGUUGUAAAGCUCUUUCAGUUGAAAAGAAAAGAUCGUGACUAAUAAUCAUGAUUUAUGACGGUAUCAACAGAAGAAGCACCGGCUAACUACGUGCCAGCAGCCGCGGUAAUACGUAGGGUGCAAGCGUUAAUCGGAAUUACUGGGCGUAAAGGGUGCGCAGGCGGUUCUGUAAGUCAGAUGUGAAAUCCCCGGGCUUAACCUGGGAACUGCGUUUGAAACUGCAGAGCUAGAGUGCGGCAGAGGGAGGUGGAAUUCCAUGUGUAGCAGUGAAAUGCGUAGAGAUAUGGAAGAACAUCGAUGGCGAAGGCAACCUCCUGGGCUAGCACUGACGCU
rnacentral:rRNA from 1 species